rnacentral:rRNA from 1 species
UACGUAGGGGGCAAGCGUUGUCCGGAAUCAUUGGGCGUAAAGCGCGUGUAGGCGGCUCGAUAAGUCUGCUGUGAAAGUCCAGGGCUCAACCCUGGGAUGCCGGUGGAUACUGUCGAGCUCGAGUCCGGAAGAGGCGAGUGGAAUUCCUGGUGUAGCGGUGAAAUGCGCAGAUAUCAGGAGGAACACCUAUGGCGAAGGCAGCUCGCUGGGACGUGACUGACGCUAAGACGCGAAAGCGUGGGGAGCAAACAGG